GAGCCACUGCAGAGGAUGGCAGCUACAGUGGGCUUUCCGGAGUUGAGUCAGGUUCCCGUUGACUCUCCAGAGUUGAGUCAGGUUCCGGGUGACCUUCAAGAGUUGAGUCAGAUUCCCGUUGACCCUCCAGAGUUGAGUCAGGUGCUCAUGGACCCUCCAGAGUCAGGGUUAGUCACCGUUGACCUUCCAGAGUCAGGGUUAGUCACCAUUGACCUUCCAGAGUCAGGGCUAGUUACCACGGACUUUCCAGAGUCAAGGCUAGUCACCGUUGACCUUUCAGAGUCAAGUCAAGUCACUGGGGAUCUUCAAGGACCGAGUCAAGUCACUGGGGAUCUUCAAGGACCGAGUCAAGUCACUGGUGAUCUUCAAGGACCGAGUCAAGUCACUGGUGAUCUUCAAGGACCGAGUCAAGUCACCGGAGUUCUUCAUGGGAGAAUUCAAGUCACCAGUGAUCUUCAUGAACAAAGGCAAGUCACCACUGAUCUUCAUUAACAAAGCCAAGUCACCACUGAUCUUCAUGAACAAAGCCAAGUCACCAAUGAUCUUCAUGAACAAAUGCAAGUCACCAAUGAUCUUCAUGAGCAGAGUCAAGUCAGCAUCGAUCUUCUGGAAUCCAGUAUAAACACCAUGGGAUUACCAGAGUUUCGUCACUCCUCUGUGGAACU
ensembl:lncRNA